GAGGCGUGUGUGAAGGGAGAGGAGGAGCGUUUGUCGCCUUGGCGUCUGUCAGCAGGCGCAGUGAAACACAAAGAUGAAGACCCCCUGGAAGGCGUUGAAGGUGGUGAAGAGAUAGGCCAUGACCACUGACUCCUUAUUGAUGAAGAGCAGGCCGAAAGCCCAGGAAGAGCAGCUCGGCCAGGAAGAGGUUGAUGCACAGGUUCUUGUGGAUGGUGUUGCGGUC